rnacentral:rRNA from 1 species
CUACCAAGCCCCAAAAGCUAGCCUGCACCUUAAAAAACAACAAACCACAUCAAUACCCCCAAAUGAACUACCCAUUUGUACAACAAACCAUUUUUCCCCCCAAGUAUAGGAGAUAGAAAAGGACCUACAGCGCAAUAGAUAAAGUACCGCAAGGGAACGCUGAAAAAGAACUGAAAAAACCCAGUAAAGGCAAAAAAAGCAGAGGUUAGCCCUCGUACCUUUUGCAUCAUGACCUAGCAAGAAACCCCCGAGCAAAAAGCUUUUUAGUUCGGCCCCCCGAAACUAAGCGAGCUACUCCAAGACAGCCUAUUAUGGGCGAACCCGUCUCUGUGGCAAAAGAGUGGGAAGAGCUUUGAGUAGAGGUGACAGACCUACCGAGCCUAGUUAUAGCUGGUUGCCCGAGAAAUGAAUAGAAGUUCAGCUCCCUAAGUUCUUUUACCAAAUAGGACCCAGACCAGAACAGGCUGAAAGAAUCUUAAGGAACCUAGUCAAGAGAGGUACAGCUCUCCUGAAAAAAGACACAACUUUUUAAGAAGGCUAAAGAUCACAUUUAAUAAACUAAAGUACUAAGGUGGGCCUAAAAGCAGCCACCCUUGAAGACAGCGUUAAAGCUCGAGUACUUAAAAUGAUAAAUACCGACAAGUAAUCUUAAACCCCUAAAAAAUAUCGGGCCCUUCUAUGCCCCCAUAGAAGAGACACUGCUAACAUGAGUAAUAAGAGAGCCAUGCCUCUCUCCCAGCACCCGUGUAAAUCAGAACGAACCCCCACUGAAAAUUAAACGUCCCCAAAAGAGGGCAUUGAGAUAAGGCCGACAAUAGCAAGAAAUUCUCUCAGUGAAUAAAACGUUAAUCCCACACAGGAACGCCCGAGGAAAGACAAAAAGAAGGAGAAGGAACUCGGCAAACAUCAGCCUCGCCUGUUUACCAAAAACAUCGCCUCUUGUCCAAUUUAAUAUAAGAGGUCCUGCCUGCCCUGUGACAAAAGUUUUAACGGCCGCGGUAUUUUGACCGUGCGAAGGUAGCGUAAUCACUUGUCUUUUAAAUAGAGACCUGUAUGAAUGGCAUAACGAGGGCUGAGCUGUCUCCUCCCCCCAGUCAAUGAAAUUGAUCUGUCCGUGCAGAAGCGGACAUAAACACAUAAGACGAGAAGACCCUAUGGAGCUUAAGACGCAAGAGCAGCCCACGUAAACCCCCUCAACUUUAAUUGAGAAAAACAAUAUGGCCCUCUGCCCUAUGUCUUUGGUUGGGGCGACCGCGGGGAAACAAAAAACCCCCACGUGGAACGGACACCUCCCGAAACAAGACCCACAAGUCGAACAAACAGAAAUUCUGACCAAAAAGAUCCGGCAAAGCCGAUCAACGGACCCAGUUACCCUAGGGAUAACAGCGCAAUCCCCUUUUAGAGCCCAUAUCGACAAGGGGGUUUACGACCUCGAUGUUGGAUCAGGACAUCCUAAUGGUGCAGCCGCUAUUAAGGGUUCGUUUGUUCAACGAUUAAAGUCCUACGUGAUCUGAGUUCAGACCGGAGUAAUCCAGGUCAGUUUCUAUCUAUGAAACACGCUCUUUUCUAGUACGAAAGGACCGAAAAGAGAGGGCCCAUGCCUCAGGUAAGCCCCACCCCCACCUAAUGACCCCCACUAAAUAAAGGUAAUGGGGAAGAAGACUCACCAUGCCGAUAUUAGGCAA